rnacentral:rRNA from 1 species
UUUCGCAAUGCCCGAAAGGGUGACGAAGCGACGCCGCGUGAGUGAGGAAGGCCUUCGGGUUGUAAAGCUCUGUCAGGAGUUAAGAAAUAUAAGUGUGCUAAUACCACAUUUAUUUGACGAAGGCUCCAAAGGAAGCCACGGCUAACUCUGUGCCAGCAGCCGCGGUAAUACAGAGGUGGCAAGCGUUGUUCGGAAUUAUUGGGCGUAAAGAGCACGUAGGUGGGUUUGUAAGUCAGAUGUGAAAGCCUUCUGUUCAACGGAAGAAUUGCAUCUGAAACUGCGAGUCUUGAGUGUAGGAGGGGAGAAUGGAACUUCUGGUGGAGCGGUGAAAUGCGUAGAUAUCAGAAGGAACGCCGGCGGCGAAAGCGAUUCUCUGGCCUAUUACUGACACUGAGGUGCGAAAGUUAGGGGAGCAAACGGGAUUAGAUACCCCGGUAGUCCUAGCCGUAAACGAUGGGCACUAAGUAGAGGGGUUUUA